rnacentral:lncRNA from 1 species
GGGAGUAUGAUACAUUGUUAUUUGAUGGAAAAUAACUGAUAAAUGUAACUGGUGAAGAAGCAAAAUUAGUGAUGAGAUAUGAUUGGAAAACAUAAGAAAGGCUGUAGAAGCAAUAAAGUGCUUGCUUAUGAGUUACAUGCACAAACCCCUGUAGAUUGUACACAUAAUACAGCCAUUUUUAACCAACAACUGAAAACCCCUUUCAUAAUUGAAACACCCAAAUAAAUGAAAGUUUUAUAAGAAGCAUCCGUGUGAAGAAAUGUGGUGCUUUGCUGUGGAUGUAUCAUCUGUAUCACCCUUUCCCAUCAAAGGCACAGAGACCAUCAUGGCAUAGUGGAUAGAAAGAAUGUAAGAGCUGGUGGAUGCAGAAGAGCUAUGAAAUGCUAACUUUAAGACAUGACAUGGCUGUUAUGCACACUGAUUGAUUGCUAGCAACUGUGGUUAUGUGCACAAUAUCACAAUAUCAAGCCAGCUAAAAUUCUGGUAUGGUGGAGAUGUUAUUGAUAAUGAAUGGUUAUUGAGGGAGGGACAAUCAUUUUCCUUUAGGGACAUGGCUGAUAGUAGGGUAUCCAUGCCUCAGUUCAUGGCCCCACACUCAAACGCAUAUGAGGAGCACUAACUGGACUUGGGGUGGGUUAUUAAUCAAUAAGAAACCACCAACAACUGGAGGGCAGGAACUUGGGCGAGAAAUAGAGUAGAGCCUUCUGAGUGGAAUUGGAAGGAAGACAUAUGGAUGGAUGUAGUAAAAAGACAUUGUAUAAAUAUAUGCAAUUUUCAAAGAAAUAAACAUUGUACAAGCAAAACUUUUAAAGAUAUGCCAUAGAAGAACUUGAGAAUAUGAAUUAGUGAAGUAGUAUAUAAGAUAGGAUUGGGAAACUAAAAAUAGACAAACUGUAGAAGUACUUAAGGCAUUUUUUUUUACAUAUUUUGUAGUUCUUACAUAGACCAAGACAGUCAUGUUUAAUCAAUAACAGAACUCCCCCUUCAUUAUCACAAGUUCCAAAUAGAAAUAGGUUUUAUUUUCUUUUAUUUUUUAUUAUCUUUAAUCUUUUCUUUACAGUCCAGUUGCUAUUCCCCUACUGGUCCUCCGACAGUUUCUCAUCCCAUUCCUCCUCCCCCUGUCUCCAAGAGGAUGUCCCCACCCACACAUCCCACCCCACUCCACCACUCAGGGUUUCCCCACACCAUGGGGUCUCAAGUCUCUCAAGGGUUAGGUGCAUCUUCUCUCACUCAGGCCAGACCAGGCAGUCCUCUGCUGUAUAUGUGCCUGGGGCCUCAUAUCAGCCUAGUAUAUGCUGCCUGGUUGGUGGCUCAGUGUCUGACAGAUCUUGGGGGUCCAGGUUAGUUGAGACUGCUGGUCUUCCUAUGGGGUUUCCCUCUUCUUCAACUUCUUCCAGCAUUUCUCUAAUUCAACCACAGGGGUCCUUGACUUCAGUCUAAUUGUUGGGUGUAAGUAUCUGCUUCUGUCUCAGAAUCUUCUUGUUGGGCCUCUUGGAGGGCAGGCAUGUUAGGGUCCUGUCUGUAAGCACACCAUAGUCAGUAAUAGUGUCAGGCCUCAGAACCUCCCCUUAAGAUGGAUCCCAAUUUGGGCUGGUCACUGGACCUCCUUUCCCUCAGUUCUUCUCCUUUUUUGUCCCUGCAGUUCUUUUAGACAGGAACUACUCUGGGUCAGAGUUUUAACUGUGGGAUGGCACUUGAUGCCCUGUUUUUCUACUGGAGGUGGAACAGGUUUUAGGAGAAGCAUACAUGGUUUAUUAGUGCAGGCCUACAUUGCCAUGGCUCAACUCUUACUCAUCAUUCAGAUCUCAGAUUAAUUUCAUGACAGAGCCCUUUUCUGACUAUUCAAAAUCAAUUACUCUUUUUGUUGUAAUGCCAUUUGAAACCUUGUGCUUUUCUUUCAUAGUGCUUAUAUGUAAUUAUGUGUUUUUGUGGCACACGCCUUUAAUCCCAGCACUUGGGGGGCAGAGGCAGGCGGAUUUCUGAGUUUGAGGCCAGCCUGGUCUACAGAGUGAGUUCCAGGACAGCCAGAGCUACACAGAGAAACCCCGUCUCGAAAAACAAAACAAAAAACAAACAAACAAAAAAAAAGAGAGAGAAAAAAAGAAAACAAUGUACUUUAGUGCAUGGGUGUGAGUAUGGGCCUAUGCAUGUCAAGGCCCAUCGUGUGGAGGUGAAAACAACUAAGUGGAGUCAAUUUUCUUCUACCUUUGUGUAGAUCUAGAGAUGGAACACAGGUGUCUAGCCUUGGACUGCAAGUACCCUUAUGUGCCCAGAGAUCUCAUUGGCCUGCCACUGUCUUGUUUGACUUGUUUUUAGUAGUAGCCUGUGUGUGUGUGUGUGUGUGUGUGUGUGUGUGUGUGUGUGUGUGUGUGUAUGUGUUUAGUCUAGAGGUCAACUUGGGAUUUCAUCCUCAGAAAUGCUGGCUGUCCACCUACUUUGAAAUGGUCUCUUGCCUCCCUGGAACAUUGCAGAUAGGCUUUUUGGGCAGUAAGCCCCAGGGAUCCUCUUAUUUUGUCUCCCCAGCUCUGGGAUUACAAGCUUAUGGCACUACGCUCAAAGAUUCUUAUGUGGGUGCUGAGGGUUGAACUUUACAAAGUUCUCUUCCCAGCCCGGACCGUAUCUCAGUUCACCACUGUAUGCGUAACUGUGAUUGUGUAUGACACAAAGUAGACAUUCAACAACAACAACAAAAUUUAGUGAGCCUUUAAAUUAUACAUAAUUAAGCAUUUUGCAUAGUGUGAUGUAGCAUGCUGCACCAGCAAUUUUCUUACCUAGCACGAUUACAGUUUGUCAGAGAAUUCAGCAGUCAAUAACAGGUUACAGUUAAUUGGAAGUUCAUUUGCAUGAGUACUUGAAAUUUUUUAAAAAAGAAAAAUCAACAGUAAUGAACACAGACUUGCUUUUAUAUGCCACAAACUAUUGAUAAAGGUGUAAUUAUAAAAUAACUUUAAUAUUUGCUCAGGAAAAGGCAGCAAAUAAAAAAUAAAACUCUAGCU